GUCUCGAACAUUGCAAGAAACGGUUAUUCCACUUACGAAAGUUAUUGAAAGAUUUAUGGUCGAGAUUUCGUAGUAAUUAUCUAAAUGAACUUCGUCAGAUGAACAUUUACCGCAAGGAGAAAGGUGGAAGGCUAGAAUGAUCGAACUCGGAGAUGUAGUGCUGAUCAAAGACGACGACCCUACACCGCGGACGCAAUGGAGAAUGGGCAAGGUUUUGAAUCUGGUGAAAGGUCGUGAUGAGAAAGUACGUGGCGCUAAACUGAAGGUGCUUUCUAAAACUGGAAAGCAGACAUACGUGUUUAGACCAAUUCAAAGAUUGAUUCCGUUCGAAAUUGUAGAAACAUCAAGAAACGAUCGUAGAGAUGAUAAUUCCGAAGGACAAUUGAAUGAAACGAUUGUAGAACUGCCGGAGAUCGAGAACAGUGAUGAAAACAGGAAACAACGCAAUGAUGGACGAGUUAGGAGAAAAGCAGCGAUCGAAGGGCAGAACAUGCGAAGAGCUCGUGAACAAUAUUAUUAAGUUAGGAUUUUAUUAACGCUAGCACUUAACAAACUUUUAAUCUUUGGUUGGGAGGAUGUAGAAAUUAAUAUUUUUAGGUCAGUUUCGUACUUCAUGUUAGCAAAUUAGCAGUAUUGCAUUUUGAUUGGUCAUCGCAAAUCAUGUGAGUGAUCACAUGACAGGACAAUGAACGUUUGAACAAUAACUCAGUGUUGUAUGUCAGAGAGAGACGCACGGGUGUGCAAAUUUAUGUCGCACAUAAUUUUAAAUAAAAC